UACGGAGGGUGCAAGCGUUGUUCGGAAUUAUUGGGCGUAAAGCGCGUGUAGGCGGCUAUUUAAGUCUGAUGUGAAAGCCCGGGGCUCAACUUCGGAUUGCCUUAGAAACUGGUGAGCUAGAGUGCAGGAGAGGGCAAUGGAAUUCCAUGUGUAGCGGUAAAAUGCGUAAAUAUAUGGAGGAACACCAGUGGCGAAGGCGGCUUGCUGGGUCUAUACUGACGCUGAGGUGCGAAAGCGUGGGGAGCAAACAGG
rnacentral:rRNA from 1 species